AUGCUUUUAGCAUCUGAGCCAAAGCCCACUGCCUUUACUGAAAGCCUUUCCAUUGACUUCAGUGGGGUUUGAUCAG
ensembl:miRNA